rnacentral:rRNA from 1 species
UACGUAGGGUGCAAGCGUUGUCCGGAAUUAUUGGGCGUAAAGAGCUCGUAGGCGGUCUGUCGCGUCUGCUGUGAAAACUCGGGGCUUAACCCCGGGCCUGCAGUGGGUACGGGCAGACUAGAGUGCGGUAGGGGAGACUGGAAUUCCUGGUGUAGCGGUGGAAAUGCGCAGAUAUCAGGAGGGAACACCGGUGGCGAAGGCGGGUCUCUGGGCCGUAACUGACGCUGGAGGAGCGAAAGCGUGGGGAGCGAACAGG